GCCUGGGUGGCUCAGUUGGUUAAGCAUCCGACUGUUGAUCUCAGCUUGGGUCUUGAUCUCAGGGUCGUGGGUUCAAGCCCCAUUCUGGGUU
rnacentral:tRNA from 1 species